AGCCCAGCUCCCAUCGCUAAUAGCUUGGCUGUUCCCUACACUGCUGUGCACCAGGCCCUCUGCAUAGAGCUGCUUUGGGCAAGGACUACAGGGCCUGCUGUCAUCCUGGCAGGUGUCACAACAGGUUCCAUAAUCCGGACCCCUGGUCUCCCUCCGCUGGCAGGCUCUGAGCAAGGCCUGCCCAGAGAACAUGGAUGACGAGCUCUUGAUCCUGCUGACAGCACCCCCCAGCACAGACAAACUCCAGCACAUCUUGGAGGGUGGGAAACCAAGACACAGUUGGGACCUGUCUACACUACAGGUCUGUCGUGCGUUUGUAAUCUGCUGACCCCCACAUGUUGUUCAGAGCCUAUGGACAACACAGCUCCUAAAGGAUGGCCAGGCUCCUGAGGAUGUUCAGGAAGAAGGCUCUGCAGGUGGCCCCAGAGCCUGAGGGAAGCAGCUGCCAUCUUCCCCAGGAGCACAGCGGCUCCUCCGUCCCCACUGGCGGGGAAGGAGCUCCCGGCCAGGCCAGGAGGUGGGAGUGCCCAGCCUUCUGGCGGAGAAAACCCGCUCCCAGCGCAGGCGCCGAGGUGGGAGAGGCCAGGUCGAAAUGGAGCUGGGCCAGGCUGCGGCUGGGCAGGCAGGACCCAGCGCAGGAGGGGAGCCGGGCAGGGUGACUCUGGGACAUGUUGUGUGGGCAGCAGUGGCCCCAGGAGUCCAGCCCUGAUUCCCAGCAGGAGGCAUCGCCCUGCCCGGUCACUGAGGACCUUCCAGCCUCCCCAGGGCAGGAGGUGGAGGAUCCCUGUCCCACCACCAGCAGCUCGGCCCGCUCCCCAUGGGACAGCAGCAGUGCCUGGGACUCGGGCAGCAGCGAGGCCGAUGGGCGCCGCUGCUUUGUUCUAGGGACCGCCAGGGACUCAGGGGACGAGGAGGAGGAAUGGGUGGACGUGGCCUCAGAGGAGGCUGCUCUCAAUAACAGCCGAGAGCAGCUCCAAGGCGGAGAAAAGGAGGAGGCCCAGCAGCUUGUGUUCCUGCACGCCAUCCACCCCGCGUCUCGCUGCACAGCAGAGAGGGCAGGACACAGUGGAGCCGCACUGCUGCAAGGCGGCUGUGGCGGAGAGGAUUGUGCACCAUGACACCUGCCCUGGAGCCAGAGCUGGAGACCCACCUCCUCCGAGCUGCCCUGCACGCCGUCUUCACCCUGGGCAUGGAGAAGGACACCACCCAAGUGCAGGAUCUGCCUAGGGUCUUGCCAGACCUCCUGGACGCCAUGCUGGGGAACCUGCUGGCAGAGUCCCCAGACACCGACAGGCUCCAGUACAUCUUGGAGGUGAGCCCGAUGAGAGGGGUGGGGGCAAUUUUACCUUCACUCUUAGAUCCAUUUUCCAGUCUGUCCUCCUAGCUGAGCCCCCAGUGGGCAUCCUUGGUCAGGGCAGUCAGUGCAAUGCAGUGUCAGGCCCUUCCUCCUUAAAGGACAGAGGAAGGAGCUGGGACUUCAAGCCAGAGUUCUGCCUGGUUGUGUUGAGCACUAACCACAGGGCCCCUGGCUGGCUUGGGGAGUGAGAGUCUGAACCCCUCCUGGGAGAUCCAGAAGAGGGUCCUCAGAGAAGAGUCACAGGCUCCUUCCUAGAGAAACAGGAGGGCCCCAGAGAAUCAGCCCGUCUCUCCGACGGGCCCUGAGAUUUCUGAGGGGAUUGUUCAGGAAUCAGGAGUGCAGGGAGGAUGGGACCAGCCCCGACACUGAACAUUGUUCCAGUCUAGAGAGACAAUGACAAGUUUCAAGAUUCAAGAAUCGUCCUGCGGGCAACAAUCCCCUUCCAAAGCUCUGCAAUCAAUGAAUCAGAUAUUCCACCCUGCGCACAAUGUCUCAGCCCCCUGGGGAUGGGUGUGUGUCUGUGCCCAUUGAUCCUAAUCUGCCUCCU